GCCGUUAGGAUCUCUUCACAGAGCACUGCAAGGUGUAGCGCCAGCAAGUCAUCCCACAGGGUGCCCUUUGGAGGAGCCAGUAGACUUUGUGCAAGGGAGGUGCCGUGGGGAUCAAGAUGAGGCCGCUCCUGGACAGACUGAGUUAGAAACAGAGCAUUGAGAUGAGGCGUGAAACCAUUAUCCGCAGCCUUAUACUGUACCUUGGCGAGAAGGAAGAGGAACUUUUUGAAGACUGCUUGGAGGACAGCCGGAGUGAUGUCAGUAACCACAUCCUCAAAAUACUCGUCGUCCACGGUGCUGAUGAGGAUCCAGUUGAUGUCUCCAUCCUUGUGGAAGGCCAUGAGAUUUUGCCAGGGUGCAACAGUACUGCGAAAGCUUUCUCACUGCUCAUGGGACUGAUUUAUGCCCUGAACUUGGCAUACCCUCCCACUUUGCGCUACACUUUUGAAGUCUUCCAAAAACUCAUGCUGGAGCUGGAUGGAUUGAAACUGUCCCCAAAAGUAAACACCUUGAAGUUGAAGUUGCUUUCCUAAAUGCAUGUCAUGACUUUGUCAUCCUAGAGGAGGAAAAUGACAUCAUUUAUGGACCCUUGUUGAGGUUGUAGCAUCAUGCAUGGACUCUUGUGAAGAAAUGCCAAGAAUUAGCACUGAGUUCCAGUUCAUCUUGGUUUACUAGUGGGUUGCCUGUCAUAAAUGUUUUUCAUUUUUUGUCAAAUAAGGUAUCUGUUAAUGACAGUAAAGAUUGUAUUCUUCAACAAGAAUGUUUAGACACCUUAAGCUGUUUAUUUUUAGUUGAUUAUGUUGAUUUUAUUUCAUUAAUGUUUUAAUUGCAUACUUAAAAGUGCACUAGUCAGAGGACUGGUUUGAAUGUUGAAAUUGCACUUUUUCAGUGUAGUUUGUAAGAUUUUAAUUGCAUAUUUGAGAAGUGACUAUGUUACCAGAUCUAUGUUGGAUUUGGUGUAUAAUGUGUAAUACUGUGUAUUUGUUGUUUACCAGUCAUACCAACCUUUGGAUAUUUUCUUUAAAAAAUAUACUAUUACUACUA